AUUGAACGCUGGCGGAAUGCUUUACACAUGCAAGUCGAACGGCAGCACGGACUUCGGUCUGGUGGCGAGUGGCGAACGGGUGAGUAAUACAUCGGAACGUGCCAAGUCGUGGGGGAUAACGUAGCGAAAGCUACGCUAAUACCGCAUACGAUCUAAGGAUGAAAGAGGGGGAUCGCAAGACCUCGCGCGAUUGGAGCGGCCGAUGGCAGAUUAGGUAGUUGGUAGGGUAAAGGCCUACCAAGCCGACGAUCUGUAGCAGGUCUGAGAGGAUGAUCAGCCACACUGGGACUGAGACACGCCCCAGACUCCUACGGGAGGCAGCAGUGGGGAAUUUUGGACAAUGGGCGCAAGCCUGAUCCAGCCAUUCCGCGUGCAGGAUGAAGGCCUUCGGGUUGUAAACUGCUUUUGUACAGAACGAAAAGGCUCUGGUUAAUACCCGGGGCUCAUGACGGUACUGUAAGAAUAAGCACCGGCUAACUACGUGCCAGCAGCCGCCGUAA
rnacentral:rRNA from 1 species